GUGCUCGCUUCACCAGCAUAUAUACUAAAAUUGGAACGAUACAGAGAUUAGCAUGGGCCCCACGCAAGAAUGACACACAAAUUCGUGAAGCGUCCCAUAUUUUU
rnacentral:snRNA from 1 species